rfam:Myotis brandtii contig163605, whole genome shotgun sequence.
UUUUAAAUAUAAGUAUCUCCCAUGCAAUAGUUGGGAUAUACUUGUAUUAAAA